rnacentral:rRNA from 1 species
UAGGGAAUCUUCCACAAUGGACGAAAGUCUGAUGGAGCAACGCCGCGUGAGUGAUGAAGGGUUUCGGCUCGUAAAACUCUGUUGUUGGAGAAGAACAGGUGAUAGAGUAACUGUUAUCAUCUUGACGGUAUCCAACCAGAAAGCCACGGCUAACUACGUG